CAGCUAGUAGCUGCUGCAGGAGCCGCGAGUGGCGCGAGCCCAGAGCCGGGCUGCAGCAGCGGGAGCGGCGACCCCUGCCCCUACCCCGCACCGCUCUGCCCCGCGCCCGCCAUGGUCCCUCGCGCGCGCCUCCCGCGGUUCCAGGCAUUUGUUUGACUAUGUGGAAGAGGAUGAUGACAACUUUGCAUGGAUGAUUUUACGUAAUUAACACCUGCCAGAUUUGCAAAAGGCAAUUAUCAUUGUGAAGUGUUUACACUGAUUUAUGGAAAGAAGGUGGUCCAAGAGAGGGAUGCUGAUAAUAUCAACACUGUGGAUUAAAUACACAUUUACACCUUUAUUGACAUAUGAAUGACCCAUGCCAAAAAUACAGUGAAAGGAAUGCGGAUGGAGCAAUAAUGUGGCACAAACUAUUGUAUAUGGAUUCAGCUCUGCCGUCCUUCUGUAAGGCACAAAAAUGGAAUUCUACAUCUGAGCUAAAAUAGGAUAUAACUGUUCUCGGCAUGUCUGCUUGUUAACAUGAGCAGUGAUGGUGAACAUGAUUUUUGAAAGCCUCAUAAGAAACAUGGGCGAGGUUUGAAGGAAUUCCCUGUUUUUUAUUUUUUAUUUUUAUUUAUUUAUUUAUUUUUUGUUCGGAUUGUGGAUCCUGAGGGAAAGCCUAAGGAGACUCAAGGAAUAUUUGUAGCUGGGAAAUGGAAUCUGGAUCUGAAUCUAGCCAACAUCAGAAAAGAAAGCCUGUGACACAUGGACUGGAAGAUCAAAAAAGGAUUUCUAAAAUAAUGGGCCAGACACUUGGCUGCUGUACAUUUACAACAGAAUGGAAUACAGUGGAUCUGUACUACUUGAGGAUCUGGCCUUAUAGCAGAUGUUAAAAAUGUUGCAGUUGAAAAAAGUGCCAUGCUUCAGUUUUUGUCUGUGCUGAAGUCAGGAUGGAAUUACGCUAGUUCUCUGCCGCCCCAGCCUGGGUCCCUCUGCUCCUCAGGGCUCACAUCCAGGAUGUAGCCGCCACUGCAGAAAUCUCUGUGCUCUGCUCUGUGUAUGUCCCCACACGGUCUUGGGGCUCGUUUUGCUCCCCUCCCUUCCCCCUGACCUGGCGGUUGUUCCUGGGCUGCCCCAAACGAAAUCACUGUCCCAGUGGCUGGGAUCGCUCCCUGACUGGGGGGGAAGCUCUGGAGAUCCUAGGCUGUGUUGAGCCUUGAGCAGAGGAGAAGAGCUGGGCAGACCCUCGCUGGGGUCCUGUGCUGGUGGGAGAGGGGAAGCAGGGGGGUUUAAUUCUCCUUCCUCCCCCUCACCUUCCUGAGACGCUGCCUGGGCCUCAGGCUGGCCACUUGCCCUACUGCUUGCGGAGAAGCCUGGCAAAGGCUGCUUCCCCCUCCAGGCACACCUGGGCUGGGGUCUUUGCAGGCCAGGGUGGGGGUUUAAACUGCUCCCCAAUCAUACUCAGCCUGCUGGGGCCUGCCUCCCACCCAGCUCAGUUUCCCUCCAGCCUCUGGCCACCGUGGAAGAGAAGAGAGGGCUUGCUGUAAGACCCACCGGCUUCUAGCCUGAGGCACUGUAGACGUGGCUGCAUUUCCAGAAUGAAAAGUGAGUGUCUAUUCACUUGCUUGCUGGUUCAAUCUAUGUGGUUUAGACUAACCCGCAAAGAUUGAAUCAAUUUAGGUUCAGGCUUUUUUGAAUGUCUGUAUUUAGCCCUGUAGCACACCACUGACCCCUCACAGCUAUUGGGAGAAGUGAUGCUCUUUGAAAUAAAAGCUGGAGCAAACAGCACCUCAGUGGUCCCUGCAGCCUCAUUGCUGGUUUGCAAACCUUCAUCUUCUUAGGGUUCAUCCAAAGACCGUGCAGUAGAAUCUGGGUUCUGCUUGGAAAUGAUUUAGCAGCUCAGUGACUGAACUGGAAAAUAAAAACGGAAUUCAGUUUUUAAAUUCUUCCAAAACAAAUCUUUUAUUUUGAAUUCUUUUUCAAUAAAAGCAUGUGCAACUUGGAAACAAAGAGCUGUAUGUGCAAGGGGUUGUCACAAAAGGGAGAAGGUGGUUUGGCCCCUAAUUGUAUCUUAGUGGUCAGGGUACUUGCCAGGGACAUGAAAGAUGCACGUUCAAAUCCUCUGCUUGAUUCAGAAGAGGGAUAUAAUCUGCUCUCUUCCUCAUGCUAGGAGAAUGCUCUUAAGUGGGCUAUAAAGUGUUGUGCAGUGAAUUGCUUUCAAUCUUUCCUGUUCUAAUCUACUGUGAAUAGUACAAUUAAAUAUUCAUUGGAGCACAGACUGGAACCCAGGUGUUUCCUUGCCCAGUAACAGCUCACUGCCAGACUAUAUAGUCUCUGUGAUUGAGAGAGACUCAUCCCAGGAUACCCAAUAACCUGGUAGUUAGAUUAGUUUCAAGAGAGGUGAGAGACCUCUGUUCAAAUUUCUGCUCUAAAGCAGACAGAUAUGAAUAGCAUUUGAAUCCAGAUUUCUGACUUUUCAUGUGGUUGCCCCAAGUGCUAGAAUCUAAGAUUUUAGUUUUUUGGACUGCAGAUAAAUUCUCUUUCAAUCUAGCUUGAAAAAUCAAAGCAUUUUGUUUCAGCAUUGCUGAAAUGAUUUAUUUCAACCUUUUUGUUUUUUAAAUUUCAAUUCAGCUGAAACAACAUAAUUAGUCUUGAAUUUGUGCAUCAAUUCAAUGAACUCAAAAAAACUGCAUUUUUCUGUGAAUGUUCUAAAAAAUUACUAAGGUCUCAUGUCUACUUCACUGCAGAACAGGAAAUAGGUUAAUUAUCCAGAAUUUCUUUUUUCCUUUACCUUUACUCCUAGAGACACUCUAAAGUUAUAGAUUAGAUUUUUAAGAACACAUGACAUGUAUUCCACAGUAAUUUGACUUUGCUUCAAGGUAAAAGUGGAGUGAACACACAGUGUACAUUCUGACAGUAAUUAUCAACCCCUCUGGACUAAAGUUAUCUCUGGGAAAGUGUGACUACUGAUGUAAAUCACACUGCUGGUGUGUGUGCUCUCCUUCUCAGUUUCAUCCUGGGGAAAAUAUUUGUUCAAGGCAGACUGGCUCUCCUGCCUACCGUGGGGAACUUGCUUGAGAGAGCUGGUUGUCUGUCCACUCUGUAUUAUAAAGUAAAUUUAUUACAGUGUAAAAUCUGUGGUAAAAUUCUCUGAAGCGAUUAUGUCACAUCUGCACCCUCAUCUACAAUAGGCCUUGUGCUCCCAAGUAUAUUCUAGAUGCUUUUGAAAAUCCCACCCUUAAUUCUCUGGAUGAAUAGCAAGGCCAACAAUAAUGAUGUUAAAGUUUGCCUCAGUCUGUAGGCUCUUGGUUUGAAGACUGUGCUAAAAGACCGAGCAGAAAGCUGGCAAAGAAAAUAGUAUGGAUUCACAAACAUUACUUAUUGUAGCUAAGUACUAAAGAAAUUACUAAGCAUGAAGCAUGGCAUUAGAAGCUAUAAUGCUCUGAAAAAAAAAUGUAAGCAUUUGUGAUUUUUUUUUUUUACUUAAUGGGGGUUUAAUGCAUGGUUUUAGCAGUGUUCAGUUUUGGAUUGUUCUCUUAACUGAAAUCCAGAGAAUGGGGGAGAAAUCACAGCAUUCUCCUAGAGCAGCACUCCUAGAGAGAGCGACUUUCAGAAAAAAGCGAACAAAAAUUCUCCCAGUGGUAGGACUCCAGACUGCCAGCAUACUUCUGAAAAGUCUGAAUGCAGGAGACUACUUACUGAGAAAUACAGUAGAUCAAUAUAAAGUCAGCUCUAAAGGAAACUGUAGGAAGUGAAAAAGAAAUAAUUUAAAUAUGAAAAGCCUGACCCUGCAAUGUGCUUAGGUCCUAUUGGAGUCAGCAGAGCUGAAGUUACUGAGCGUGUUUUGUUAUCAGGCAUUAAAUCGCGUCAUAGUGAGUUUACAUACAGGUUUCCCUGUUUGCGUGUGUGUGUCCGUCCGUGUCUCCCCCCCUGUUUGGUAGAUUAAGAAUAGAUUGUAGGGUUGGCCAUAACGGAUCUGACCAGCAGUCCAUCUGGUCUGGUAUCCUGCUUCUGGCAAUGAUCAAUAUCUGAUGCCUCAGAAAGGAAAAAAACAACAACCUAAUGCAUCCAGCUUAUUAUGUCAUAGGUGGAGAAGAAUAAGUUCCUUUCCUUCCUCUACCCUCUGCUGAAAAUGAGCUUAUACCCUGAGGCACAAGAUAUAAUUAUCCUUAUUUUUAUCCUUCACAGCCACAAAUAUUAAUGGUUAUAAAAUUACCUAGAGUAUCUUGAAAUCCAAGUAGGCAAUCUGAUUUUGUGAGAAUUGGCCUGUGGCAGUGAUUUCUAUAGGUAGGUUAUAUUCUGCAUAAAAUACUGUUUCCUUUUUGUGUUCCCAGAUUUCAUUAGACUGCCACAGUGAAAGUAAGUUUCAGUAGUAAAUCAAAAGGUCUGAGGUUGGAGUCAGCAGUGCAGCUGCCUUUCUAUGGAAUUUUGUAUUUUAAUUCAGUUUUUAUUAGAACUCUCACAGACGACUCAUUUUUAUAAUGAAGUCAAACAAAGACAUUUCAAGAUAGCUCUGUGUGAUUUCAAGGAUUUUAUCAGCUAAUAAAAUCUAGUACGAAAAUAAUAAUUAAAGACUUCCAUCUUGAUAUUUUUCCCUUUCUGCAGGGAAUAGUGAUGCUGUCUGUCUAACCAUGCCAGACACCAUUCAACUUGUUCUGUUUGCUUUGUGCCAUCACUGACAGCAGCCAGUUCUUGACAGAGGAAUAUAAACCCUUUUUCUCUGAUUGGAGGCUCAAAUCCACUACCUCAUUCCUGCCUUGACUCCAUUAAGAUCAGAUGGCAGUUUGCUUUUCUCUGAGGAACUGUUAGUGAUGAUCCUGGUUUUAAGAUGUUGGUCAUUUUGUGUUGUCAGUGGGAUCCUUUGUCUGAGUAAGGGUUUGUACCCUAAAAAGAGAGAAAUUACAAAAUAGAGCAUAAUUAUGAAUAAACUCAUUCAGUAAUAUUCUAACAAAAGGAAUCUAGUUGGACACAAGACUUUGUAUUGUGGAACAGAAUGGUAGAACAUUACCUACCUAAUGAUUUUUAGUCGUCUCUUAGCCUAAAGGCUACCUUCUCAUCAUUUUAGUAUGUAUUCAUGAUGUGCGUGUCUUUUCCAGCAAACGUGUGGUUUUUCGUUCCCCCUCUCUCCCCUAAUAUCAGUGAAGCUUCUGUUGAUUAUAGCGAUCUUUGAUGUAAAAUAUGAAAUAUUUCCUCAGGUCAGUCUACCCUUGUUUGCUAUACAGUAAAACAGUCUGUGUUGAAAGGCCAUAAAAAUAUAUUCUGGAUGCACAGUUUAAGAUCCCAGGCCUGUCUCACAGUAUUUACCUAUGGAAAUAGCUCCAUUCAAGUCAGCAGGACUUUUCAGAUAAGGAUUGCAGAAAUGAUAGAACAUUUGUGUGUGUUUUUUUUUAAAUUUGUUUUUCUUGUCUGUUACUUUUUCUGUUUCUUUUUCUGUUCAAAUCUUUACUUAAAGAAGAAUUAUUUAAUGAAAAGAUUAAAAAAAAAAAUUCCCCCAUCUUGCAGUCAGAGUGCGGUCUUCUGAUGCUACACACAAAAACUCAUUAGUGUGUUGGUUUCCCGCAUGCCUCUUUGGAAGAAUGUUUCAUUAUCAUGCAAAUGGGUAGCCUCUGGCUCCAAACUAAUUGUCAUAUAUCAUAAUAUAUAGACUGUAAUAUUAAUUUUUUUUCAUCAUUUAUCUAACUAAGGCAACUGGAGGGCCAGACACUGCUUGUCACUGUCUGUCAUGAAGUGUGUCUGCUACCCCUGAUAUCCCUCACCUAUUUUCAUAUCCAUGGGGAGAAAAGGAGAAAAAUAGUCUCUGGGAUAAAAAUGGUAUUCAGGACACUGCAAAGCCCAUCUUACCUCAUGGGCCUUUGGGAAGGGAGGGACAUAUAAAGAAUGUGUGUCAAUAGGUGGAUUUGGUCUUCUGGGGUCAAAGUUUUAGGGCCAGGUGGUUAAUAUAUAUUUUUUUCUUUUGCUAGAUUAUUUUUUAGUUUGGACAGAGUUGCUUGGGUCUCUUGUAGCUGCUUUUUUUUCCUUUGAUAAGGUUUCCUGCAGUACAGUAUUGGCAUUUAUAAUGCCUUUUAUAAAGCCAUAUAAAUAAGUUACAAUUCUGUACUAAACCUUUACUGAUAAUUUUACAGUGGUGAGGCUCAAUGAAGUUAGUCUUCAUGUUUCUCAGAGCUGCUAUAAACAUCCUUGUUGGAACCACAUCACUGGUUGCUGUGUUCAGAUGAAGGAAUUUGUAGGAAGUGUUUUCAAAAAAGAAACCUGUUCAUAUUAUCCAUGUUUUUAAAUUCCAACUGUUUACAAAGGACUGCUAUAAAGAUUAUGUAGGAUGUUGCUGAAAUAUGUGGUAAACCAGAUUUACUAUGGCUAAAAUAUUUUAUUUCUUCUUUUUAUUUGCCUGAGAUGGCUUGAGUUGAUUGAACUCUGAAUUGGUUCACUGGGGUAAGUGAAAAUGGAAUCUAGGUCAUCCUCCAACCUUGGAGUCAAGUGUAUAGAAUCACCAUCUCCACUGUCCUUCAUAAUCUGUUGUAACCGCUCUUGUGACUGGACGAGAGAGCCACUGGAACAAGAGCCAGUUCAGAGACAUAGGGCAUCUUUUAAUUUCCCUGGGAGCUCUGUAGGUCACUGAGAAUCCAUAAGGCUGGGAGGGUAGAGCUUGCAGAAUAUUCCCACAGUGGGGUACUUCUACUCUCCUAGUGUAACCAUAUGGGAGGAGCGCAAUGAAAAUGUAUAACUGUUAGUGUGGGAGAGGGUGAACUGGCCCAGAAAUUUAGCCCUUGUAAUUGUGGUGUUAGGAAAAUGAUACGGUACUGGAAGCUGCAGAACCCUUGGGUUGUUAAAAGAAUGUGCUUCUUAGAUGUCCUAGGGAAACUCUUACAUGUUGAAGGCAAUAAAUAUGCUCCAAGUUGUGCAGCCUCUCCAUUCUUUCAGAGCUCUUGGCUCAAAUAACGAAUUGCAUCAAGGGGGAAAAAUAAACCUGCUUCCAAGAUAUGAAAGAGUUGUAAGUUGAGAAAUCCACGAUGGAUUUUUGUAAUGUAUUCACUUUGUGUCUCUUUUCCUAAAUUCAUAGAUUGUAGAGUCGGAAGGGACCACAAUGGAUCAUCGUGUCUGACCCCCUGCCCCUGGCAGGAAAGAGGACCGAGGUCAGAUGACCCCAGCCAGGUGACUAUCUAGCCUCCUCUUGAAGACCUCCAAGCUAGGUGAUAGCACCACCUCUCUUGGAAGCCCAUUCCAGAUCCUGGCCACCCUUACUGUGAAAAAAUUCCUCCUAAUAUCUAACCUAAAUCCACUGUCAACUAGUUUACACCCGUUAUUCCUAGUCACUCCCUGGGGCGCCUUAGUAAACAGCGCUUCCCCUAUUCCCCAUUGACCUGCCCUAAUAAAUUUAUAGGCGGCCACAAAAUCUCCCCUCAGCUGUCUCUUGUGAAGGCUGAAGAUUCAGCUCUCUCAACCUCCCCCUGUAGGGUCUAUCACGAAGGCCACUAAUCAUGUGAGUGGCCCUCCUCUGGACCCUCUCGAGAUUCCCCUCAUCUCUCUUGAAGUGCAGCGUCCAAAACUGGACACAGUACUCCAACUGGAGCCUGACCAGUGCCGCAUAGAGGGGGAGCAUCACCUCCUUUGUUCUCUUAGCCAUGCACCUGCUAAUGCACGACAAGGUGCGAUUGGCCUUGUUGAUGGCCUCAUUACACUGCCAGCUCAUGUUCAUCUUGGAGUCAAUUAUGACUCCAAGAUCCCUCUCUGCCUCCGAGCUGCUGAGAGAGACACUCUCCAACCUAUAGGUGUGCUGAGAGUUCCUCCUUCCCAGAUGGAGUACCUUACAUUUAUCUUUAUUAAAUUGCAUCCUAUUUAUCUCUGCCUAUUGAUCUAACCUGUCCAGGUCAGCCUGAAUCUGCUCCCUGCCCUCCAGUGUACUAACUUUGCCCCAUAACUUGGUAUCAUCAGCGAACUUGGAGAGCGUGUUCUCCACGCCCUCGUCCAAAUUGCUGAUGAAGGUAUUGAAUAAUAUUGGUCCAAGGACUGAACCCUGCGGGACCCCACUGCCCACCUCCCUCCAGGCUGAGAAGGAACCAUCCACCACCACUCUCUGGGUGCAGUCCCUAAGCCAGUUGGCCACCCACCUGACCGUGUAGGUGUCCACUCCACAGUCUUCUAGCUUCCCAAUGAGGAUAGGGUGCAAAACUGUGUUGAAGGCCCUCCUAAAGUCCAGGAAGAUGACAUCAGCCUUGGCUCCCUUGUCCAGGCAGUGUGUGACCUGGUCAUAGAAGGCUACAGGGUUUGUCAGGCAGGAUCUACCUGUGACAAAUCCAUGCUGGUUUCCUCUCAGCAUCGUUUCCCCUGCUGGGCCUGCACAAAUGUGUUCUUUGAUUGUUUUCUCUAGCAUUUCCCCAGGAAUAGAGGUAAGACUGACUGGUCUAAAGUUACCUGGCUCAUCCCUUUUCCCUUUCUUGAAUAUGGGCACCACAUUGGCCCUUCUCCGGUCCUCAGGGACUUGGCCGGAGCACUAUGAGUGCUGGAACAGCUGUGCCAGUGGCUCAGCUAUGACACUGGCCAAUUCUUUCAGCAGCCGUGGAUGGAGGUCAUCUGGGCCUGAUGACUUGUACCCAUCCAGCUCCUCCAGGAGCUCCUUAACUGUUUCAGAACUAACCGUAGGUAGACUGGUGCCAUGUGGACAUCUGUCAGUGAUCGAGGUGGGGGACUUGGCUUGGUCGAUACAUAGAAAUACUGAAGCAAAGAACUCAUUGAAGAACUCUGCUUUUUUCCCCGCGUCAACCACCAACUGUCCUGAUUUGUCCUGCAGGGGCCCUAUGUUGCUCUGAGCUUUCCUUUUGCCCGCUAUAUACCUGAAGAAGGAGUUUUUAUUGUCCUUGAUUGUUGAAGCCAGUCUGAGCUCAAGCCCCACCUUGGCCUGUCUAACUGAUUCCCUGCAAUAGCGCACCAGGGAGAUACAUUCCUCCUUGGUGGCUGCUCCCUGCUUCCAUUGCCUAUACAUCUCUUUCUUUGCCCCCAGACUCUCCUGGAGUUCCCUGUUCAGCCAACAGGGCUUUUUUGUCCCCUUACCUCCCUUCCUACACAAUGGGAUAGACUCCUUUUGAGCCCCAAGGAUCACUCCCUCGAGAGACCUCCAACCCUCCUGGACCCCCAUAUGCUCUAUGUUCUUGAGUUGCAUCCCCUCACUAACCCCUUCUAAGCUUGCUAAAGUUGGCCCUUCUGAAGUCCAACACCUUAGCACCACUAGUUACUUUACCCACCCUUCGGUGGAUAGUGAAUUUAACCAAGUGGUGGUCACUAUCUCCCAGGCUACCAUGAACUCGCAUGUUCCCCACGAGAUCAUCCCCUGUUGCUAAGACCAAGUCAAGCAAGGCACUACCCCUGGUGGGGCUAGACACCACCUGGGUUAGGUGGAGGUCCUGCACACAGUGUAAGAACCUCCAUGAGUGGCUUGUUUUGGCUGUCUGCUCCUCCCAGGAGAUAUCUGGGUAGUUUAGAUCUCCCAUGACCACCGCCUCCCUCGCCUGUGUGGUGUCUGCUAGCUGCCUGGAGAAUACAUCGUCUAGUUCUUGAUCCUGAUGAGGAGGCCUGUCAUAGACCCCCACAACCAAGUCCUUUUCCCCUGGCCCCCCCUGGAUCCUGACCCACAAUGCCUCGGUGUUCCCCUCCUCCACCCCACCUUAACGGUGGAAGACGUAUACUGCUCCUUAACAUAGAAUGCUACCCCCCCACCUUUUUUCCCCACUCUGUCACGCCUAUACAACCUAUACCCCUCAAUGCCUACCGCCCAGUCAUUUGUAGAAUCCCACCAUGUCUCGGUUAGUCCGACUAGGUCAUACUGGGUGCUAGCAAGCAAGAGUGCGAGCUCCUUCUGCUUGUUCCCCAUACUCCUGGCAUUUGUAUAAAGACGUUUUAAUCCCCCAAAGGGGACUCUUGGUGCCCCUGUGCCUUGAUGGCGUGUGUUCCCUUCAUUACUUACCUGCUGUGGUCUGGUGCCUUGUUUAUGGCUUACCAACCCCUUAAUACUUACCUGGUGCAAUCUGGCACCUUGUUUGUGGUUUACCAACCCUGAGCUCUCUUCAACCACCGGUUCCCCGACCCCCAUUGAGCCUAGUUUAAAGCUCUUCGGAGGAGAUCACCCAACCUGCGGGCGAACAGGUACUUACCUCUGGGAGAGAGAUGAAGAUCAUCAACUCCCAGGAAGCCUCCUCCCUGGAAGUGCUGGUCAUGGCUGUAGAAUCCGAAGCUCUCCUGAAGACACCAACUCUGGAGCCGCUGGUUGACUUCCUUGAUGCGGGCUCCCUGGUGUCUCCGGCUGCUGCCAACCGGAAGGAUGGAAGAAAAUACAACCUGUGCUCCAGUCUUCUUGAGGCUCUCUCCCAGUUCAUGGAAGUCCUUCAUGAUGCAGUUAGGGCUGGCCCUAGCUGCAUCGUUGGUUCCCACGUGGACGAGGACCAUGGGGUAGUCAUCAGAGGGCUUAAUGAGAGCAGGAAUCGCCUCAGUGAUGUCGCUGAUCUUAGCUCCAGGCAUGCAGUAGACUUCUCUUACCAUAGGAUCCGGUCAACAGAUCAGCCUCUCCGUGCCUCUCAGGAUCAAGUCGCCCACCACAAUCACUCAGCGUUUCUUCUGCCUGGGAAGUGAUCCCCCAGCCUGCCCAGUAGGGGCUACAGGGAUCACCACCUCUGCAGGAAAAUGCUCCUCCUCUGUCUCCUCCUUAGCUGUCAGGGCCCCAUAUCUAUUCCCCACACGCAAUGGAUAAGGAUAGAUGGAUAAGGUUAGAAGCUUGUGCUGUAAGCAUUCAGCUUUCCCUUGGUAAAUGUAUUUAAAUGAAUGUGUUUUUAGAAGUCUCACAGUUUUCCAUUGUGAUGACAGCCAGGACUAUCAGGUUUUCACUAAGUUGGAGUGUAUGUUUUAGGUAAACAAAGUCCCUCUGAAGACUUAAAACAGAUGGAUAGAAUUGCCUUUGUUAUUAGCUGGGUGUAUCUACAUUUAAUUUUGCAAUGCAGAUAUCUCUGCUUCACUAUAGUCCUUCACGUACGAUACACAUAUUGAUGCCACGUAUCCAUGAAUAUUGCUUCAGAUACAGUAUUGUAGUAAUCUUCAUUAUGCAUAUGGUUUAGGAACAUUCUACUUCGGACUGUUUGAUCUCUAUACUUGUUACCCUGGCGGACAGUGCUGCCCACGGCCACCACUGAAUAGUGGGAUCCUGGAGUACCUGGUAGCCAGAGACCUUGCUCAGCCUUUCUAGUGGCUGCAGCAGGUUUCUCGAGAAGAGGGCUUCCCUUUACAGAGGAUGAGCCUUGCAAACAUAUGAUAAUAUACAGGAUUUAAUUAUAUACAAUAUAAAUUAAAAAUAACUAAGUAGGUUUAACUCAUAAAGGCUGUUAGAGAGAACAUGCAAUACACAACCACAACCCCAGUAAUGACAGUCACAACACAUAACCUUUUCUUUGGAUACCCCUUACCCAAAAGGAGAAUAAUAAUCACAGAUGGAUAAUAAGGCACCAACAUAGAGCCAAUUGAGUUACAGACUUAUAGGCUUGCCCAUACUUAUUUACACAUCUAAUAAAUAACUUUUAUAUGUAAGGAUGAAUAUGAUGGCUCUCUGCAAACUUAGCAGUCUGGGGCAACACCUUGAGAGGAAUAGCCACCUCUUUGCCCCUCUCAUUGGAGCUGUGGGCAGGUCCUCCCUAGCUUGGGUCCCUCUGUGCUUGCUUCAGGUGUCACACACUGCAGGCCAUCAGUCCCUCACUGGCGUCUCUGCAAUACAGCUCUCUCCACCUUGAUCCAUGUCCCCUUACACAGCAAGCCACGGGGACUAGACUGCUGGCUCAGGCAGUCACCCUGGCCAGUACACACACAUCCCUCCAGGCAAUCAGGGAAGGGCAUUGUCACCUCCUUGUCCUGGCUUUCUCACAAGAAGCCUCACCCCAGUAAAGUAGGGUCUAGCAUUCCUCUACUGUGACUCCAGGCAGGCUGCUCUGACUCCUUUUGGUCCGUAUCCCACCUCCUUCAACCCCACACACAGGUAGACCGGGCCUAUCUCUCUCUGGUCCUUCCUUCCCAGCUCACACUUGCUCCACUUAGGGCUUAUGGGUUUCUUCCUGGCUAGGUCCAUAGCACAGCUUUCCUCUUUGUCCCAGGGAGGAUUCCUGGGCUCGGACACCUCCCUGAUCCUACAGCAACUCCCUCGGUGGCUCCGCAGGCUCUGAGGAAGAAUUGCCUCAUCCAGGCUCCCUUCAGCCUGUGGUGUGUGCCUUUUCUUUCUCCUCCCCUGGGGAAAAAACCCUGUUAAGGAAUUUCCUUAGCCAAUCCCCAACAGGGAUUUUUCCAUAGGCUUCCCCAAUGGCUGCCAUGUUACCUUCUUUUAAAAUGGGUCUUUCCAGAUGGGCUUCAUCCACCCACACUAAAAGACAAAAUUUAUACGCAUACUUUUUCAUUUGGCAAUGUGCUGGAGAUCCACUGCUUUGGAGCAGACUCGAUUGCUUUGGAGCAGAGUCAGCUCUGCACAUGAGCUGACAAGCACUAUGCUAUGCUGUAUGCAGUUGUAUAAACAGUGAAACGAGCAUCAGUGUGCAGAAAACGAUGGUGGUGCACUUUUGAACUAAAGUGCCUCCAAGGUAUUUUAGUUCAAAAGCACGCUGCUGCCAUUUUCUCAGCGCUGAUGCACAUUUCACCACUUAUACAACUUGAAGUGUUGCAGCACCAGGCGCUUGCAUAUGUAAAAAUUCCCAUAGUGCCUUCUGGGACAAACAUCCUCCUUUCUCAGCACAGUCUGUAGAGGGGCAGCCUUCCCAUGCUGCUGCCCAGCUGCGCUCCUCGUGAGACACUCCCCAUUUCGGGUAAGCACAAUCUUACGGAUUGUCACAUACUGAUCUCUUUUGGAGCUGGUUGAGGUUUCAUAGGAAAUUUUUUGUAGUGUUCUUUUGUGUUAAUGUUUUUUAGAGCUUUCUGUACCAGAUGUUGUGCAACAUUAAUCUGCUAGAGGGAAAAUAAACUAGGAAGACAGAAAUGGAUUCACCUGCUGAUAAUCUAUGGAGGAAUUUGGGUCGCCAUUCAGUAAGGUACUUUCUACUUGCCUAACUUUUAAGCACAUAAUUAGUCCCACUAAAGUCAGUGCGAGUACAUGCAGCUUAGUCACCAGCUGAUCUGCUUCUUUGGGCAAAAUGUACAUUGCCUGUUAUCUUGCCUGGUGUUCUUGCAGGGCAAUGGGUGAUGCAUUCCCUGGUUCCUGUUGGCUUAGAGAAUGGUAUUUUAAAAGUUUGCUUUUUGGAAAUUGAGUUAUAGGUACAAAUAUAUGCAUUAGAAUGGUUCAGGAUGGGCAGCAGGGGUUAAUUGAUUUAUAAAAAACUUGGGUCUCACACACAGAGCUUCACACAGUCUUUGAAGCAGACAGGCUGUCUAAUAUAACAAGGCCAACAAGGACACAGCCUGGGAAAGAGGGGGCUAUGUAUCAUACUGUUCCAUAACAUGAGAUAAGGGUGGCACCAGCUAACAAGGCCCCAGAGCAGGAGGGCCUGAGUCCUGGUUUUGGGGGAACAGACCAAAUUAGAGAAGGCCCAGAAAGACUAAAUUAGUACAUGUGCAUAUGAUGAACUACAACCACACAGAGAGACCAACCAGCAACAGCCACAGAUGAAGAAUCAUCAGGAGGGGAAGGAGCAUACAAAAGCAGAGACUUGCAAAGUAAUAAAGGGUCCCUCUCCAUCCCUCCUCCCUGCCCCUCCUUCUUGGGAAGGGUCCCCAAGGCCACCAUGGACAGAAGGCACACCACCAGCCCAUCUCAUCCGCCCCACUGAAGGGGGUGUGUGGGCCUUGGCAUCCCAACUCCAGGCUUCUGACAUCUGACACAUGAGAGCCUCAGAGUGAAGCCUACAUCCUGGCCAGAUGUACUUUUGAUUCUGAUGACAGCCCUAGGAUUUGGUAGAUAUAUAGAAUUGCUUGAUUGUUAGUGUUGUUUCUUUUCUGUUAUGACUGUGUAUCAAUAAAUUUGCCUGUUACUGAAUCGAAAGGUCGUGGUUGGUCUGAGGGUGGGUCCCCCCUCGGAACAAGGCCUACGGGUCCAAAAUCCAGAGCCAUCACUUCCAAGGACAUGCCCCUGGCAAUCUUGGGGGCACAUCUGUGGAAGCAGGGAUAACCAGGAAGGCACUCCCAAAGCUUAAGGGGCCCAAUCCAGUGUGGAAAUUCCCAGGGUAUGCAGGACCAACCCUGAGAGUGCCUUCCCAGGGCAGCUGGAAUGCAGGCAGCACCAUGCUGCCCGUGCUCUCCUGCUAUAAAGUAAAUAGACAUCUGCUGCAAUAAAACAGCACAAAUUAUUACCACCUUUUGGCAGAACCACACUGUGGUGCAAUAAAGAGUAUAGACACUUGAUUGCUCUUUUCUUUGUGCCACCAUAAUCAUUUUUAUGGUGGCACAAAGGUGAGGAAAGGCAGCAUCUGUUUCCAUCCGAAAUUAGACUCCAGUGACUUUGAGUAGGCUUUAGAUCAAGCUUUUCCACCACGUUUCACAUCAUCACAGUGUUUAAGCAUCCUUUUCUGUGCUCAGCAAAUAAAUUGUAUUACUGACUAUUGCUUCUUUAGCACAAAAAUGUGCUUGGUGCUGUACUAUAGACAAGAAGUGAUGAUAAUCCCUAUCCCAAAGUUUUUUUUUAAUAGAGAAAGAGACAGGAUACUGUUAAGAUAGUUGGAAAAGUAGCUCUCUUUGUUAGUGUAAGAGCUGGAGAAAAUUGCCUCCGUAGGAGUGCCCUUAAUUUUUUUCCCCUUUCCAUAAACCUGAAUCCUGUGGUGAAGUAGGAAAUGCAGGGACUACCAGUAAGUUGCUUUUAGAGAAGUAGGAUGCUGUUAGUGAAUAAUACUUACACGAAACACAUCUUUAUGUCAUGAAUGUAAAUAACAUAUACUAUUUUCUUUUAUUUAACACUAUCAAUAUUUAAUUUAAUGUCUAAUCUAUCAGCCAAUAUUUUGUCAUGGUAGAAACCUAUUAAAAGAAAUAAUGGAAAGGAGUAGAUAUUGUGAAUUAUCUGUUCAUUGUGGUGAAUGGUGCUUUAAUGUCAUUUUGGCUACCUGCUCAUCUCCCAGUAGAUGGAAAAUAGAUUGUAAAGUCCUCUUCUUGAGUCCACAAUGCUCUAAUGGCAAAGCUGGAAACAUAUUUAAUUUGGUUUUCAGGUUCUUAGUGCUCAUUAGAGUGAGAUCCCUUCUUGUAGAACCCAUACUUGUAUGUCAUACAUACUGUGUGAAUUGGUGUCACAUAGAUCUGUUUGUGACAUGGCUUAGACAUCUGCAGAAUUUAUUGGAUGCAAAUGAUUUAUUGGGUUCAAAUGUGUAUUCAAAGGACUAUGAAUGUAAGUCUUCCAAAAGCAGCUAAGCAUCAUUUCACAUAAUGUUUUGGUUUCUGGAGCUUGAAGCUCAGCUUUAGGAGUACUCUGUUUUUAAAAUAUCUUCCUUAUUUAUUUAUUUUUUUUAAGAAAAAGAAAGAUGUUUGAGUAAAUGAAAGGAAAAUAAGUCAUAGCAUAUAUGUACUCAUUGGAAUAAAACCUUCAUAAAUAUUUAUCAACUGGGGAAAAAUAAGUACACAGAUGCUGUCUUUUUCUACACUCAAAUUAUGUGUGAUAAUAUAUCAGCUAGCAGAGUAUCAGAAUUUAAUGUAGUAGAUUAUUUUUUUUUCAUUUUCCUUAGCAUCAAGAAGCCUUUUGAUUGAACAACAGUAUGUUUAAAUGCUAGAGUAUAUUCAACACAUGUUUAUGUAGAUCAGUGGUCUCCAACCUUUUUAAGGUGAAGAGCACUUUUUGAAAUAAAGGGCAAUUCAGGAUCUACUGAAAUGUAGCUAAGGCACAAGGAGGAGAAAUACAAUAAAAAUUGUUUAGUUAAAGAAUUUAAUGUUGUCUAGUGCACAGAACACCAGGUGGGGCUGAGUCCUAUUCUGAUCUCUGCUACUGGUCUGCUGAGUGGUUUUAGGCAAGUCACUGUCCCUUUCUGUACCUCAGUUUCCUAAUCUACAAAACAGGGCUGACAGCACUGACUUUGGGCUCUGUUACAUGUUACCUCUAAAACAUUUUAAAUCUGUGCAAUGUUAUGCCUUCAUAAUGUUAGAAGAAUUUUGGAGCAGUUGCAGGUUAAGGCUUAAUGCUGUCCCAGAUCUGCACAACUGUGACUUGCCACUAGGGCUCUAGGGACAGACAUUCAAAAAGCCUGAGCCUGAAUUGAUUUAAUCUUUGCAGGUUAGUCUAACCUGACUAGGCUGAACUGGUUUCUAACUUGACAGACAUUCUCUCUGAACUGAGGAAAUUCAGGCACAUGCCUGCAGUGAC